CCUACGGGAGGCAGCAGUGGGGAAUAUUGGACAAUGGGCCUCAAGCCUGAUCCAGCAAUUCUGUGUGCAGGAUGAAGGUCUACGGAUUGUAAAGUGCUUUCAGUUGGGAAGAAGAAAGUGACGGUACCAACAGAAGAAGCGACGGCUAAAUACGUGGCAGCAGCCGCGGUAAUACGUAUGUCGCAAGCGUUAUCCGGAUUUAUUGGGCGUAAAGCGCGUCUACGCGGAAUAAUAAGUCUGAUGUUUAAAUGCGGGGCUGAACUCCGUAUUGCGUUGGAAACUGUUAUUCUAGAGUACUGGAGAGGUGGGCGGAACUACAAGUGUAGAGGUGAAAUUCGUAGAUAUUUGUAGGAAUGCCGAUGGAGAAGUCAGCUCACUGGACAGAUACUGACGCUAAAGCGCGAAAGCGUGGGGAGCAAACAGGAUUAGAUACCCUGGUAGUCCACGCCGUAAACGAUGAUCACUAGGUGUUGGGGGU
rnacentral:rRNA from 1 species